UACGUAGGCAGCAAGCGUUGUUCGGAGUUACUGGGCGUAAAGAGUGUGUAGGCGGUGCUCUAAGUUCGGUGUGAAAUCUCCCGGCUUAACUGGGAGGGUGCGCCGGAAACUGGAAUGCUCGAACGUGGGAGAGGAAAGCGGAAUUCCUGGUGUAGCGGUGAAAUGCGUAGAUAUCAGGAGGAACACCUGCGGUGUAGACGGCUUUCUGGACCAUUGUUGACGCUGAGACACGAAAGCGUGGGUAGCAAACAGG
rnacentral:rRNA from 1 species